AGUGAACGCUGGCGGUAGGCCUAACACAUGCAAGUCGAACGGCAGCACAGUAAGCGCUUGCUCUUACGGGUGGCGAGUGGCGGACGGGUGAGGAAUACAUCGGAAUCUACUUUUUCGUGGGUGAUACGGAGGGAAACUUACGCUAAUACCGCAUACGACCUACGGGUGAAAGCAGGGGAUCUUCGGCCCUUGCGCGGUUGCAUAAACCGAUGUCGGAUUAGCUAGUUGGCGGGGUAAAGGCCCACCAAGGCGACGAUCCGUAGCUGGUCUGAGAGGAUGAUCAGCCACACUGGAACUGAGACACGGUCCAGACUCCUACGGGAGGCAGCAGUGGGGAAUAUUGGACAAUGGGCGCAAGCCUGAUCCAGCAAUACCGCGUGGGUGAAGAAGGCCUUCGGGUUGUAAAGCCCUGUUGUUGGGAAAGAAAAGCAGCAGGAUAAUACCCGGAUGUUCUGACGGUACCCAAAGAAUAAGCACCGGCUAACUUCGUG
rnacentral:rRNA from 1 species